rnacentral:misc_RNA from 1 species
UCCGAGUUGACCCCGGCAGUCUCCUACGAGUCCCCGGCAUUAUCCGCUGGCAACAUAGGACAAGGGUUGCGCUCGUUGCGGGACUUAACCCAACAUCUCACGACACGAGCUGACGACAACCAUGCACCACCUGUACACCGCCCUUGCGGACCCCGUAUCUCUACGAGUUUUCGGUGUAUGUCAAGCCUUGGUAAGGUUCUUCGCGUUGCGUCGAAUUAAGCCACAUGCUCCGCUGCUUGUGCGGGCCCCCGUCAAUUCCUUUGAGUUUUAGCCUUGCGGCCGUAGUCCCCAGGCGGAGAACUUAAUGCGUUAGCUACGGCACGGAACCCGUGGAAAGGGUCCCACACCUAGCGCCCAACGUUUACGGCGUGGACUAC